rnacentral:rRNA from 1 species
UACGUAGGGUGCAAGCGUUAAUCGGAAUUACUGGGCGUAAAGCGUGCGCAGGCGGUUCGUUAAGACAGAUGUGAAAUCCCCGGGCUUAACCUGGGAACUGCAUUUGUGAUUGGCGGACUCGAGUAUGGCAGAGGGGGGUAGAAUUCCACGUGUAGCAGUGAAAUGCGUAGAGAUGUGGAGGAAUACCGAUGGCGAAGGCAGCCCCCUGGGCUAACACUGACGCUCAGGCACGAAAGCGUGGGGAGCAAACAGG